UACAGAGGUCUCAAGCGUUGUUCGGAUUCAUUGGGCGUAAAGGGCGCGUAGGCGGCCUCAGGUGUCGGAUGUGAAAGCCCGGGGCUCAACCCCGGAGGUGCAUCCGAAACUCUGGGGCUGGAGGUCGGAAGAGGAGGGUGGAAUACCCAGUGUAGAGGUGAAAUUCGUAGAUAUUGGGUGGAACACCGGUGGCGAAAGCGGCUCUCUGGUCCGGACCUGACGCUGAGGCGCGAAAGCGUGGGGAGCAAACAGG
rnacentral:rRNA from 1 species